UACAGAGGUCUCAAGCGUUGUUCGGAUUCAUUGGGCGUAAAGGGUGCGUAGGUGGCGGGGCAAGUUUGGUGUGAAAUCCCGGGGCUCAACCCCGGAACUGCACUGAAUACUGCCUUGCUAGAGCACUGGAGAGGGAACUGGAAUUUACGGUGUAGCAGUGAAAUGCGUAGAUAUCGUAAGGAAGACCAGUGGCGAAGGCGAGUCCCUGGACAGUUGCUGACGCUGAGGCACGAAGGCUAGGGGAGCAAACGGG
rnacentral:rRNA from 1 species